UAUUUUUUUUUUAACAUUUAUCCUUAUGAUCAAUCAUAGAUAUUAGAAAAAACUUUUUUUUUUUUAAAUCUUUGAACACUAUUUAUCUUACACUAUGCUGACAUAGCAUAGAGGACACACGUGGGAUAACCGGCACAGAAAUCAAGUCAGAGAAAGGAACUAUAAAAUCACGUGGGCGAUGAAGGUUUUCCAUAGGCUUACCUCUUUCGGCAAAAGACGCUUCCAAAUAACGUUUCCGUCUUUUGAAUUGAAAAUCAAUCUUUCGAAUUCGUAGUUUUUAAUAUAUAUAUUAUAUUGUAACUAACGAUUGAAUUAUUAAAUAAAGUAAGAAUCACAAUAUAAUUAAUAUGAGGAGAAAAAUAAAAUUCGCAUUCUAAAAAGCAUCUAGACGAUUAAAAUGCACAUUAAUACAAUUCACUACUAACGUCAAGAACCGCCCAUCCGAAAUACCUGCAAUGCGCUUUGGAGGAAAAUCGAUCGUGUUCCUGGUCUCGGCUACGCCCCAAAGAACCAUUUGCCAGGAAUUUACCAAUGAGACAUGCUUUAUCUUUUACUAAUUUUAUUUUCUGCUUCAAUAACAAAAAAUAUGUUUCAAUAACAACAAGUAAAUAAAAAUAAAAAACUUUGAAUCAAAUGAAUCUUUAAGAUUCACAUCGAGACAUUAUCUGGAUGCAGAUAGAAAGUGGUCUUGUGCCACUUAUUGUGCUUGUCGAGAAUACUCGCACAAAUAUUCAUGGAAUACUUCUACUCUGAUCUCUACAGAUUUUUACCAUUAAUUUUAACUAAUUAAAAUUGUAUAACAUGUAAGUUAAACUUAAUCUAUGAUCAAAUGAACAAUUUUUAAAAAGAGUUUUGAUUAUCAAAUAGAUAAACACCAAUAUAUUUUUAAUAAAUUUCUAUUUUUUUUUUUCAGACGUACAAAAUUAUAUUAAAAAAUUAUAUUACGUAAGUUCAAUCAAUUACAAACAACGAAAGGAAAUGGAUAGAAAACGUGACAUAUAAAAUGCAGUAGACGUAUCCAAACAUGGACAUACCGCUUCGUGAUUCGAUCGUGUGAACCUCUCCUUAUUUUUUACCUUCUUUUAUCGCGUUUUUCGCAAUAAAUAUUUUACAAGUCAUAUUACUAACAUCUUCUAAAUAAUUUUGGGAAGAACAGGAUAAAUUUUAAUACCAUUUAAAAUAAUAUUUUCGAGUAAAAUUCUGCCUAAGAUGAAAAUAUUUUUAAAAAAAACGAUGAAGCGAAUCAUAUUUUAUUGAAUUUUAUUGAGAAUAUUAUUAGAUAAUGUUACUCUAUAAACAAAACCAAAUACAAGCGAAAACCGAAUAUAUAAAUGUCUUUCCCGUUUUGGAAAUGCGACAUCGUGUUACGAUGAUAUCACCGUAAAGUGUUACUCAAUAACCAGACUGGUCGCAGAAUUGGAUAUUCUCAGUUUUCUAAUUGAUAAUUGUACUUUAUUAAAACAAUUUCUACUUCUAAUCUCUUGUAAAGUUUACGAUAACGAUAAGUUUAAUAUCUGUGAAUUUUAUCCAGUCUAUGAUCAAAAUCCUGAUACUAAACAAUCUUUAAACAAUAAAAAAUAAAGCGAAAAAAAUGUGAAAAAUGAGAAGUAGAAAAAUAAGAUAAGGAUAAAAAUUGAAAUACGGAAAGAAAACAGGAUUCAUACGAGAAAAGGAAUAGGAGGGGAGAUCGAGAAGAACAACUGGGUGACUCACAAUCAGAUUUCGAAGCUACCGUUAUCGAGUUGGUUCCCUUGAUCCACGACUUCGCCGCGAUGUAUCCGUACUCUGUCCAAAGUAGAAAACGACACCAUUUACGGCAACUUGCGGCUCCGUUGUUACUCGUUUUCAGACUCGUAUCACAAGAUCAUUCGAGAAAGUAGUCGUAUGUCAAAAUCUUGUCCUCGAUAUACAACUCGGCCACCCCUACUGGUAUUCGCAUGAAAAUCUUUGUGCGAUGAGAUAUUUCGAAUAUUUUUGCAAUAAAUAAUCUAUAAAAUAUA